UCAUGUGCUGUUAAUUGUUUCUAGAUCAUGGGGAGAAAGAAAGAGGCACAGAACCAGAGAAAGCUUUCUCCUCACAUGGCUGGAUCACAUGAUGGCUGGAUCACAUGAGAUGCAGCUUUUCUGUUAAAAGGCGUUCCAGAGAAAAAGGUCUGUGACUGAGGCUAGGGAAGGGAGACAGUCUCAAAGAGCCAAGGAUGUGUGUGGUACAGAGCACAUCUACAGAUCAGAGGACAAACUUGGGAAGUCCAGUUCUCUCCUACUACGUGGUUCUGAGGAUCAAACUCAAGUUGUCAAACUUGGUAGCAAUUACCUUUACUCACUGAGCCAUCUUGCCUGCCCCAUGUUAUAUGUGUGACAGCUUUCAGGCUUUCGAGAAGCAGUUCAGCUGAGAUUCACUCUGGAUGAGGACUCAGAGGCUUCCAGUCUGAGGAAACAGGAUCAGCUGAGGAAUUGGCAAGGUGGUAAAAGAAGUGCUUCAGACAUGGACAUCUAUCCCAGGAGCCUCUGAUGUUAGCCACAAAUGAGAAACCCACAACUUCAAAGUCAAUAUCUGGCCAACACAGAAGCAGUGAGUACCUUCCACUCCAGGUCAAAGUUUGGAAAUGACAUCUUCCAUCAAAAGGAGCCACACUACUCAAUGAAGUGGCAAUUAACGGUCUGAAGCAGCAAAUGGAGAAAAGGAGCCAGGAGUGUCUAUCAGGCAUGGUGAGGAAGCUAUCAGAGAUGCUAGGGCCGUUUCAAAGGACUCCAGGACCACCUUACAGAGGCCAAAGAUGUGAUCAUUUGACUAUUAGUACAACGGUAGAAUGGAACACAUCAAAUAUGUUUAAAUCUGUGAGCUCGUAGUGCUAAAAAUAAUAGUCAUGUUCAGAGGAUGAUGGGUAAACAAUUCAUUACUCAGCUGGAAACUGGCACUAAAGGACCAGUGUCUCUAGGCUUUGAGAAGAACUGAUUGCUAACACAAGAACACCACAGAUGACCAAGCAAUCUGUGCCUCCUGAUGGCCAAAAAAGAAUGUACCCUCACUCAUGAAGAAUUGCCUAAAAUAAGCAAAUAACUUGAAUAGCACAAAGCUUUUCAUUCCAACUUCCAAUGUCAGAAAAUUUACAGGAACGAGGAACAUCUCAUACCAUGCUGGUGGCAUGCAAACAGCAGAGAACCAGAGAAAUGCGGCAAGUGGCCUGAUCUCUUCAGGAAAGAAUUCCUAGCACGGGAGAAGAUGUGCAGAUCAAACAAGAUCUUAAAGACAUACUAACCAACUGCAGCAUCGAGAACCAAACAUGAAAUUGUAAAUAAAAAUGGACUGCUUGAAUAUCAAUUAUGCAUUUGACGAUACUAAAGACUUGUUAACUUUUUGGGCCUCAUAAUGUGGUUAUUUUAAAAAUUACCUUUAAAAAUGUAAGUGUGAGUGUGUGUGUGUGUGUGUGUGUGUGUGUGUGUGUGUGUGUGUGUGUGUACACUUGCAGAGGCCAGAGGUGUCAGAUUCCUUGGAGCUCUAGCUACAAGUGGUUGUGAGCCACCUGACAUGGGUGCUGGGAAUCAAACUUGGGUCCUCUGCAAGAGCAGCGUAUGUUCUUAAAAUCUGAGCUGUAUCUCCAGACAAAAUGUUAUUUUAAAAAGCUUUUCCUCUACUGAUAAAAUUAUGUUUCCUAAGAUUUGCUUUAGAUAAGAUGCUACAUGAUAGGAGGUAGGGAUGGACUAGAUUGAUCGUGACUGACGUUGGAUGACGGUGCACAGAGGUUGUCACUUCUUUUUCCCCACUGCUGUGCUAGGUUGAUAAUUGUCAUGUACAUUCUUAAAUUAAAUGCUGACAUUUGUAUUGUACAAAGUAUACACUGAUCCUAACCUACAAAUUCAUGGGUUAAUUUGGUCCAAAAUACUUAGAAAAAGAUUGAUUAUACUAUAAUAUUUUUUCUUUUCUUACUAUUUUUGCAUUUUUCAGCAGGGUCUUAUUCUGUAGCACUGGAUGGCCUGGAACUUGUUAUAUAGAAUAGACUGGCUUCAAGCUUAUAGCAAUCUUUCUGCCUCUGCCUCUGCUUCCCAAGUAUUGAGAUCACAGACACUCGCCACCACAUCCAGCCUAUCGCCUUUUUAUAUCACCCACUGCAUAUAGUUAUAUUCUUUACAGGUAUCCAGAGGCAUGGAAAAGAUAGCUUUGAGCAGCUAUUACUAAAAUAAACUAUUACAAUCUUGAUUAAAAAAUAGGAAGACAAAGCCAGAGUACUAUGUCAAGAAAUAUCAGCAAUAAUUUGUAACGAGUCAUUAGAUAUUGUUUGUAUAGAUUCACUUACACUAGUAAGUACAAAUUGGUAAAUUCUCCUUAAAUAUUCACCAGUGUCACAAACAUCUACUGAAUGCCUACUCUGUGCUAAAUGUUAGGAGCCAUAACAGGAGAUGAGAUUCAGGAAAAGAUGAAAAUGGGCUUUGGCUCCAUGCUAAGAUUAAUAUGUCUAGGAUGGUGAGGCUGGGGGUUGUCCUUUGACAAGAUAUGUUGGGGAAAGAGAUUAGAGGAAGGGCCUCUCACAAAAGUAAAGGACGAAGCAUAAGGUGGGUGAGAGGCAGCACCUCAUGCGCCUACUUGUCAGAUUGGGCCCAUGUUGCUGGGGACUCUCGUUUUCAUGGUCAAACUUCCUGAGAAGGAUUCAGAAAUUCUGCUCUGGCUGCUACCUGUGUUCCAGAAUGCACCCAGAUGUUCCUCUGCAUUAUGGAUUGUGUCUCAAAUUGAGCAUGUCAAAAACCGAUCUCAUUUUCUCUCCUCAAAACCUAUUCCUUCUCUCACAUUCCCAAUGGCCACAGAAAUGUCCAAGAGCCAAGUCCUCAAGGCCCUGCUGCUCUGGCCUUGGCUCAAGCCUCGUCAAGAGAGAGCAGCAGUGACAUUCAGUCUGCUCCCCACCUCUAGCUUCUCGUUCCCUGUUUUCUCUCUUGCUGUCAGAGUACUGGGGCUCUAAAACUCCCCUCAGACAUGUCCUCAGUGCUCAUCACAAAUGCCAAAGACCAGGCUUUCCUGUGAAAUUCUGAUUUCUUGAGUCUUGGGUGAGACCAGGGAAUUUAUGUUUUAAGAAGGACCCUGCGUUAUUAUCUUUGGGAAGUGCGAAAAGCACCGUUUUGAAAUGCAUCCCUGCUACAUCCUUGCAGCGCCACCAUGUAGCAGUGUGUUGUACAAGUCAUAGAAAGGUGAUGGCUGGUGAAAAGUAUAGUUUACAUUGCAAAUCCAGGCACACAUGCUUAUAUGUACAUUAAAAGAAACACAAUGUCCACAAAACAUUUCUGAGCUGGGCGAUGGUGGUGCACACCUUUAAUCCUAGCACUCAGGAGGCAGAGGCAGGCAGAUCUCUGAGUUCAAGGCCAGCCCGGUCUACAGAUUGAGUUCCUGAACAGCCAGGAUUACACAGAGAAGUCUUGUCUCGAAAAACUAAAAUAAAUAGAUAGAUAGAUAGAUAGAUAGAUAGAUAGAUAGAUAGAUAGAUAGA